rnacentral:rRNA from 1 species
UAGGGAAUCUUCGGCAAUGGACGGAAGUCUGACCGAGCAACGCCGCGUGAGUGAAGAAGGUUUUCGGAUCGUAAAGCUCUGUUGUAAGAGAAGAACGAGUGUGAGAGUGGAAAGUUCACACUGUGACGGUAUCUUACCAGAAAGGGACGGCUAACUACGUGCCAGCAGCCGCGGUAAUACGUAGGUCCCGAGCGUUGUCCGGAUUUAUUGGGCGUAAAGCGAGCGCAGGCGGUUAGAUAAGUCUGAAGUUAAAGGCUGUGGCUUAACCAUAGUAGGCUUUGGAAACUGUUUAACUUGAGCGCAAGAGGGGAGAGUGGAAUUCCAUGUGUAGCGGUGAAAUGCGUAGAUAUAUGGAGGAACACCGGUGGCGAAAGCGGCUCUCUGGCUUGUAACUGACGCUGAGGCUCGAAAGCGUGGGGAGCAAACAGGGUUAGAUACCCUGGUAGUCCACGCUGUAAACGAUGAGUGCUAGGUGUUAGACCCUUUCCGGGGUUUAGUGCCGUAGCUAACGCAUUAAGCACUCCGCCUGGGGAGUACGACCGCAAGGUUG